ACGGCGAGUGAAGCGGCAACAGCUCAAAUUUGAAAUCUGGCCCUUGUGGUCCGAGUUGUAAUUUGUAGAGGAUGCUUUUGGUUAGGUACCUUCCGAGUUCCUUGGAACAGGACGCCUUAGAGGGUGAGAGCCCCGUACGGUUGGAUACCGAGCCUCUGUAAAGCUCCUUCGACGAGUCGAGUAGUUUGGGAAUGCUGCUCUAAAUGGGAGGUAAAUUUCUUCUAAAGCUAAAUACCGGCCAGAGACCGAUAGCGCACAAGUAGAGUGAUCGAAAGAUGAAAAGCACUUUGAAAAGAGGGUUAAAUAGUACGUGAAAUUGUUGAAAGGGAAGGGCUUGUGACCAGACCUUUGCCUUGCGGAUCAUCCGGUGUUCUCACCGGUGCACUCCGCUUGGUUGAGGCCAGCAUCAGUUCUGGCGGCGGGAUAAAGACUUCAGGAACGUGACUCCCCCGGGAGUGUUAUAGCCUGCUGUGUAAUACCGCCGCCGGGACUGAGGACCGCGCUUCGGCUAGGAUGCUGGCAUAAUGGUCAUCAGCCACCCGUCUU
rnacentral:rRNA from 1 species